CCGUUAGAACUAACGCUGGCAGUGCGUCUUAAGCAUGCAAGUCAAACGGAAUGUAGCAAUACAUUUAGUGGCGAACGGGUGAGUAACGCGUGGAUGAUCUACCUAUGAGAUGGGGAUAACUACUAGAAAUAGUAGCUAAUACCGAAUAAGGUCAAUUAAUUUGUUAAUUGAUGAAAGGAAGCCUAUAAAGCUUCGCUUGUAGAUGAGUCUGCGUCUUAUUAGUUAGUUGGUGGGGUAAAUGCCUACCAAGACGAUGAUAAGUAACCGGCCUGAGAGGGUGAACGGUCACACUCGAACUGAGAUACGGUCCAGACUCCUACGGGAGGCAGCAGCUAAGAAUCUUCCGCAAUGGGCGAAAGCCUGACGGAGCGACACUGCGUGAAUGAAGAAGGUCGAAAGAUUGUAAAAUUCUUUUAUAAAUGAGGAAUAAGCUUUGUAGGAAAUGACAAAGCGAUCACGUUAAUUUAUGAAUAAGCCCCGGCUAAUUACGUGCCAGCAGCCGCGGUAAUACCAU
rnacentral:rRNA from 1 species